AUGAAUUGCUUAGUGUGGAACUGUCGAUGGGCGGGGAACUCUCGCACAGUUCGUGAUCUUCAGGCUCUAUGUAGAGUCCAUUCCCCGAAGCUGGUGUUCUUAUGUGAUAGGCAACAAAAACGUAAUAUGGCUAGGAUCCGUAAUCGUUUAGGACUGAAGGGUUUUGAUGGAAGAAGUAGUCAAGGAAAGAGUGGAGGAUUAGCUCUGUUUUGGCAUGAAACUUUGCAAGUCGAUGUUCAAGAUGUUAAUGAUAGAUGGGUUGAUGCUUAUAUUCGUGUCUCAGCUGUCGACCCCCUUUGGCGGGUUACUUUUGUAUACGGAGAACCAAGGGUCGAAAACAUGCAUCUUAUGUGGGACAGUCUAUGCAGAUUGAAGAACACGUCUGACAUUCCAUGGCUCGUCGCGGGUGACUUCAAUGAGGCACUCUAGGAGUUUGAACACCUUUCUGUCACUCCUAGACCCCAAGCCCAAAUGGUCGCUUUCAGAGACUGCCUCGAGACUUGUCAGCUAGUCGAUCUGGGUUUCUCCGGAUAUCCCUAUACUUAUGAUAAUAAGAGAAGCGGUAGAGCAAAUGUGCAGGUUAGGUUGGACAGGGCGGUGGCUGACAACACUUGGCGAGAUAUUUUUCCUGAGGUGGAGGUGGCCCACCUCUUUUCACCUUGUUCUGACCAUUGCCCAUUAAUCAUACGUUGCAUCAAGGAAACCCAGGUCCGAGCAGGGAGAACACGCAGGUAUGAAGUGAUGUGGGAGCGCGAGCCAGCGCUAGCAGAAGUGGUGGCGGAGGCUUGGUCCAGUGCAGGUGCGAAAGGGGACUUGGGCAUGAUUAGCAAUGCUCUUCGGUCAACUAUGGCAGCACUACAUAGGUGGAGCAACAAGAAGCUGGGGAACAUUACUAGAGAAAUUGAGAAGUCCAGAACACGUUUGGAGGAGCUCACAAACAUGAACGCUGACCGCAACGAAAUUCGGAAGGCUGCUGACCUUAUGAAUGAAUUACUCUAA
rnacentral:rRNA from 1 species